ensembl:lncRNA
UAACCAAUGUAAGUACCUUUCCCAAAAUGGAUAUAUACACAUAAAAAAAGAAAAUAGUAAUAUUCUUUCCCAAACCGAUUAUCAUAGAAUUAUGAAUUUUAUUUUUAAUUUAUUAACAGAAUUAAAAAAUUUAUUACUAUCCAAUGAUAAUGUUGACAAAGCAAUAUUCUCUAUAACAAACUUUAUUGAAUUAAGCUUUUAUAACAUCUUAGAAAAAUCAAUUAAAAUAUUAUUGUUAUUAUUAAUAAAAGCUAAAUAUAACAGUAUUUUAAAUUUAAUGAUAAAACAUAAGGAUUUAAUAUUUUUUUAUUUUACUUGGGAAACAAAGAUUAAGUACGAAAAGAAAAUAUGUUUGAAAGAUUUAAUAAAUGUUUUUGAAAAUAUAAUCAAAGAAUAUUAUAAUUGUGCUAAUGAAGAAGAUAGUAGUAACAAUACUCUCGAAAACGAAGUUUUAUUAACAAUUUUGCAAAAUGGUUUAAAUGUGAUUGAAUUUUUGCUUCUUUUAAAGACGCACGACUGUUAUCAGAUUAUUUCGCAUUUUAUCGAGGUCAUACUUUCAAAAAAGAUAAGCGAAAAUAACGUAGAAUGCAAACUGGACAUAUGUUGUAAAGUGUUGAACCACAUGAAGAAGACAAAAUUAGUUUUUGUUAAUUUAGAGAAUUUUUUGCUAAAUAUAUAUGAAUAUUAUAUAUUUUCAAAUAUAUAUAACAUUGCUUAUAGGACUUCAAAUAGUAGUAAAUGUACUUAUAUGUUUAUGCAUAAUUACCAUAAAUAUGAAACUAGUAAAGCAAUUAUGAAAACAUAUUAUGACACAUUAUAUGAAAUAAAAAAAAGCAAACAACUGAUUUUAAGUAAUACAUUCUAUAAAACUAUGUUUUAUAUUUAUAAAAAAAAAAUGUUAAUAACACAACAACCUCCUGAUAUAUAUUUCGGUCAAUUUAUUUUGAAAAUGUAUUUUGAAUCAGGAUUAUUCGAAAAAAAUGAUUCUCUUAACAAUAGUGAUUAUAACUUUAUUAUUAACAACAAACAAAGUAAUAAUAGAAACAUGUUAAACGAUUUAUAUUUAUAUUUUCUAUUACCCAUUUAUUUGAAUGUUAAAAAUGUAUAUAUAGAGCAAUAUAACAAUGAUAUAUUUCAAACGAUACAAAAAAAUAUAAUAUAUUAUAUUUUAAAUUUAAUGAAAUCUAUUUAUAAUUAUUGUCGAAAUUUAAACCAGGAAUUAAAUAAAAAUGAAUGUUAUAGUUUAAGCAUAUUUGAAAAACAUUACACAUUUGAUGGAAUAAGAACUACACGUAAGGUUAGUUUUAUUGAUACAUGUGAUGAUAAUAAUAAAAAUGUGGAUGGACAAGGUGAUCACUUAGGUGUUUGGGUUGGUAUAAAUGUAGGGAAGGGUGAAAUGGUAAAACUUAAUGAAGAGAUCGAAACAGGUUCAACACAAAUCCAUUUUGAACUGAUGAACUACAAUGAUGGACAUAUAAGAAAAAUGAACAUUAUACAAAAAUAUACAGAAUAUUAUAAAACAAGGUCGACUUCACACAACAUCCAUGAUCAUAAUUUCAAUAAUGGCGAUGUUAUUUCUGAUGAUUAUGAUGGAAAUGGGUUUAUUAGUGAUAUAAAACAUAAUGCAGUAAUCUAUAAAUAUGACAAAGGUAACAACAAUGACAACAGCAACAGUAGUGACAGCAAUAGUAGUAACAGCAACAGUGAUAACAGCAACAGUGACAACAGCAACAGUGACAACAGCAACAGUGACAACAGCAACAGUGGUAACAGCAACAGUAGUAACAAACCGAGCACAUUUGAGUUUGUUUUAUUUUUAAACAAAUGGGACGUACUAAGCUCAAGCUACAUAUUAAGAUUGUUAAACAUUUAUAACAUUUAUUAUAAUAGCACAAAUGUUGUAUUUAGUUUUAAAAAUUUUAAAAAAUUUAUUUUAUACUGUUUUAGCGAUUUAUUUAGUUGGGACAUACUGAAUGAUCGAAAAGAAGAUACAAUAAAUGGAAACGUAGGAAGAGAAAAUGGAAAAAAAGAUACAAAAGGCGACAAAAUAGACAAAAUGGACAAAAUGGACAAAAUG